UGCCCUGCACUGUAGUCCACUUCCUGCUUCUCUGAGGUAUCCGUGACGCUAACUGUUCACUACCACCACUUCAGCUCAGUCGACUCGUUGCCUGCUGACCGUUUUCCGUCAGACGCUCCAGUCGCUGCCGAUGCGGCCAAACGCUUCACCUUCAUCCAGACCAACUGACAUCAUCACUGGCUGUAAGGGAACCAAUCAUCAUCCAGUUCUGGUUUCUGGACAAGUGAUGCAUCAUGGGAAGCAUAUUGAUCAAAAGGUGGAUCAGUAAGGAGUAAAAACGGUCAACAGACCUGCAGGCUCAUCAGAAGUGGGUCAGAACCGGGUCUAAAGUCCGUCCUGUACUGAGCAUGUGCAAAAGGUCCAGCAGGUGUUGAGCAACAAGAUCAGUGUUUGAACCAACAAACGGAUCUAAGAAUAGCAGCCGGAGGCCCCAGGGGCCACUCACCUGCUCCACCCAACACCUGGGCGGCGUCAGGAGAAGAAGAAACCACCAGCACCGCCUGGUGGUCGCUCCUGGAAGUGUCGCAUUCAUCUGGACUCCUCGUUGAGAAACUUUCUCAAUAAAGUUUAUUUAAAACAAAACAAGAGAAGCGAGCAGAGGAAACAGACUUCAAAAUAAGAGCAUAACAGAAACAGCGAACUUAUUUGAUCAGUCGAUAAACAAAACUUCAACACGUUAAUUUAACUGAAAUUUAUAAAACAGCCUAAAAAAUUUAUUGUUUAAGAAUUUAUUCAGAAGAAUUAACUGAGGUGAAGCUAAAUGUUUUCAGCUAGCUAAGCGCUAAAUAAACAUUAGCUUCACUACUAGCACAUUAGCAACAGUGUGCAUCUGUCGCAGAGGAGCUCUGGUUCCCAGAUGUCCCUGAAUGCAUCGCAGAGGACCUCUGGUUCCCAGAUGUCCCUGAAUGCAUCGCAGAGGAGCUCUGGUUCCCAGAUGUCCCUGAAUGCAUCGCAGAGGGAACCAGUUGGAGCGUCUCCUGGUCUUUGGCCAACAGGCAGCUGUUUCUCGGUACCAGUUUAGACCCAGUCUGUCCUGGUUGGACUGAUGAAGAUGAAGGUCUACUGACCGUUUCUGCUCAGAGACGUUUCACAGGUUUCAGGUUUAAAUUGAUCCUUCGGUGAACACGGACCGGACCGACCCGGUUCCCUUCAUGGCUUCAGGCUUUUGGACUCAGAGCUGCCAACAUUAAAAAAAACUUAAAACUGAGAAAAUAAAAAUAAAUGACAUAAAAACUAGUCAGAAAAGAGACGAAACCGACCGAAUAAAGAAACAGAAACUUAAACCGUUAUUAGAGAAACUUUUAAUUUCACGACUGAAACAGGAAGAAGCUCAGAGACGAUCUGAUUGACCAGAACCGAUCCCAAUACAACGAUCUGCUACAUGAACCGUUGCCAUGGUGACUCCUCUGGGGGCGGGGCUUAAUGUGAAGGCGGAGGAGGCUGCAGAUUAUUUUAGACUAAAAAAAUUAGCAUUUUGAUUCAAUUGAGAGAUGAAACCUAAAGUCCUGCACUGUAAAAACAAACAGUGUUAUCGUCAUAGAGGAAAAUGGCUGACAGUUGAGCGCUGUCCUCGUCUCCUGCCGGACGGACUCGAUAAAAACUAAGCGUGAAUCAGCUUCAAUUAGUUUCACAUGUUUUCAUCCAGCCACUCUGAUCCUCCUGAUGUUUCAUGUUUCAGGAAAAACAAACUAAGGUUUGAGUUUUUCCUGCAGAGGAAACAUGAGAAACAUCAGGCAGAAACAACGUCCAGCUUCACUCAGGCCUACAUCUCCCACAAUGCAUUUCACAGGCCGGGUCGAAGCGUCACGGCGCGUCCACCACCGUCCGCUGAGCCUCGUACAUUUUCCCGAUGGACACCUGGACACACGGAGACACGAGGGACAAAUCAGCCACAGGCUGGAAGGCUGCAGGAAAAUCACAGUUUACAUGGAAAAACAGGGAAUUUAGC